GGGGGCAACCCUGGUGGCGAGUGGCGAACGGGUGAGUAAUGCAUCGGAACGUACCCAAUCGUGGGGGAUAACGUGGCGAAAGUCACGCUAAUACCGCAUACGUCCUGAGGGAGAAAGCAGGGGAUCGCAAGACCUUGCGCGAUUGGAGCGGCCGAUGUCUGAUUAGCUAGUUGGUGGGGUAAAAGCCUACCAAGGCUACGAUCUGUAGCGGGUCUGAGAGGAUGAUCCGCCACACUGGAACUGAGACACGGUCCAGACUCCUACGGGAGGCAGCAGUGGGGAAUUUUGGACAAUGGGGGCAACCCUGAUCCAGCCAUGCCGCGUGAGUGAAGAAGGCCUUCGGGUUGUAAAGCUCUUUCAGCCGGGAAGAAAUCGCAUCAGCUAAUACCUGGUGUGGAUGACGGUACCGGAAUAAGAAGCACCGGCUAACUACGUGCCAGCAGCCGCGGUAAUACGUAGGGUGCGAGCGUUAAUCGGAAUUACUGGGCGUAAAGCGUGCGCAGGCGGUUGUGUAAGACAGGCGUGAAAUCCCCGGGCUCAACCUGGGAACUGCGUUUGUGACUGCACAGCUAGAGUAUGGCAGAGGGGGGUGGAAUUCCACGUGUAGCAGUGAAAUGCGUAGAGAUGUGGAGGAACACCGAUGGCGAAGGCAGCCCCCUGGGCCAAUACUGACGCUCAUGCACGAAAGCGUGGGUAGCAAACAGGAUUAGAUACCCUGGUAGUCCACGCCCUAAACGAUGUCAACUAGGUGUUGGGGAGGGUAAAACCUUUUAGUACCGGAGCUAACGCGUGAAGUUGACCGCCUGGGGAGUACGGCCGCAAGGUUAAAACUCAAAGGAAUUGACGGGGACCCGCACAAGCGGUGGAUGAAUGUGGAUUAAUUCGAUGC
rnacentral:rRNA from 1 species